rnacentral:rRNA from 1 species
CGUAGGGGGCUAGCGUUGUCCGGAUUUAUUGGGCGUAAAGCGCGUGUAGGCGGCCAGGUAGGUCUGGUGUGAAAACUCGAGGCUCAACCUCGAGAGGUCAUUGGAAACCAUUUGGCUAGAGUCCGGAAGAGGAGAGUGGAAUUCCCGGUGUAGCGGUGAAAUGCGCAGAUAUCGGGAAGAACACCUAUGGCGAAGGCAGCUCUCUGGGACGGUACUGACGCUGAGACGCGAAAGCGUGGGGAGCGAACAGGAUUAGAUACCCUGGUAGUCCACGCCGUAAACGAUGGGUGCUAGGUGUGGGUGGUGUCGACUCCAUCCGUGCCGAAGCUAACGCAUUAAGCACCCCGCCUGGGGAGUACGGCCGCAAGGCUA